GCAGUCGUGGCCGAGCGGUUAAGGCGUCUGACUAGAAAUCAGAUUACCUCUGGGAGCGGGAGCCUACCGGCUGCG
rnacentral:tRNA from 1 species